rnacentral:sRNA from 1 species
GUGAGGGGGUGACUAGUGACAGAGUGAGGGGGUGACUAGUGACACAGUGAGGGAGGGGGUGACUAGUGACACAGUGAGGGAGGGGGUGACUUGUGACAGAAGGAGGGAGGGAGUAGUGACAGAGGGAGGUGGUGACUAGUGACAGAGUGAGGGAGGGAAGAGUGUGACUAGUGACAGUCACCACCCCCUCCCUCACUCUGUCACUGUGUCACCCCCUUCCUCACUCUGUCACUAGUCACCCUCUCUCUCACUCUGUCACUAGUCACCCUGUCCCUCAC